rnacentral:rRNA from 1 species
UUAAAUUGAAGAGUUUGAUCAUGGCUCAGAUUGAACGCUGGCGGCAGGCCUAACACAUGCAAGUCGAACGGUAACAGGAAGCAGCUUGCUGCUUCGCUGACGAGUGGCGGACGGGUGAGUAAUGUCUGGGAAGCUGCCUGAUGGAGGGGGAUAACUACUGGAAACGGUGGCUAAUACCGCAUAACGUCGCAAGACCAAAGAGGGGGACCUUCGGGCCUCUUGCCAUCAGAUGUGCCCAGAUGGGAUUAGCUAGUUGGUGAGGUAACGGCUCACCAAGGCGACGAUCCCUAGCUGGUCUGAGAGGAUGACCAGCCACACUGGAACUGAGACACGGUCCAGACUCCUACGGGAGGCAGCAGUGGGGAAUAUUGCACAAUGGGCGCAAGCCUGAUGCAGCCAUGCCGCGUGUAUGAAGAAGGCCUUCGGGUUGUAAAGUACUUUCAGCGGGGAGGAAGGUGUUGUGGUUAAUAACCGCAGCAAUUGACGUUACCCGCAGAAGAAGCACCGGCUAACUCCGUGCCAGCAGCCGCGGUAAUACGGAGGGUGCAAGCGUUAAUCGGAAUUACUGGGCGUAAAGCGCACGCAGGCGGUCUGUCAAGUCGGAUGUGAAAUCCCCGGGCUCAACCUGGGAACUGCAUUCGAAACUGGCAGGCUUGAGUCUUGUAGAGGGGGGUAGAAUUCCAGGUGUAGCGGUGAAAUGCGUAGAGAUCUGGAGGAAUACCGGUGGCGAAGGCGGCCCCCUGGACAAAGACUGACGCUCAGGUGCGAAAGCGUGGGGAGCAAACAGGAUUAGAUACCCUGGUAGUCCACGCCGUAAACGAUGUCUACUUGGAGGUUGUGCCCUUGAGGCGUGGCUUCCGGAGCUAACGCGUUAAGUAGACCGCCUGGGGAGUACGGCCGCAAGGUUAAAACUCAAAUGAAUUGACGGGGGCCCGCACAAGCGGUGGAGCAUGUGGUUUAAUUCGAUGCAACGCGAAGAACCUUACCUGGUCUUGACAUCCACAGAACUUUCCAGAGAUGGAUUGGUGCCUUCGGGAACUGUGAGACAGGUGCUGCAUGGCUGUCGUCAGCUCGUGUUGUGAAAUGUUGGGUUAAGUCCCGCAACGAGCGCAACCCUUAUCCUUUGUUGCCAGCGGUUAGGCCGGGAACUCAAAGGAGACUGCCAGUGAUAAACUGGAGGAAGGUGGGGAUGACGUCAAGUCAUCAUGGCCCUUACGACCAGGGCUACACACGUGCUACAAUGGCGCAUACAAAGAGAAGCGACCUCGCGAGAGCAAGCGGACCUCAUAAAGUGCGUCGUAGUCCGGAUUGGAGUCUGCAACUCGACUCCAUGAAGUCGGAAUCGCUAGUAAUCGUGGAUCAGAAUGCCACGGUGAAUACGUUCCCGGGCCUUGUACACACCGCCCGUCACACCAUGGGAGUGGGUUGCAAAAGAAGUAGGUAGCUUAACCUUCGGGAGGGCGCUUACCACUUUGUGAUUCAUGACUGGGGUGAAGUCGUAACAAGGUAACCGUAGGGGAACCUGCGGUUGGAUCACCUCCUUACCUUAAAGAAGC